AUGCACGCUGGCGGCGUGCUUAACACAUGCAAGUCGAACGAAGCAUUUGCGACAGAUUUUUUCGGAAUGAAGUUGCUUAUGACUGAGUGGCGGACGGGUGAGUAACGCGUGGGUAACCUGCCUUGUACUGGGGGAUAGCAGCUGGAAACGGCUGGUAAUACCGCAUAAGCGCACAAUGUUGCAUGACAUGGUGUGAAAAACUCCGGUGGUAUAAGAUGGACCCGCGUCUGAUUAGCUAGUUGGUGAGAUAACAGCCCACCAAGGCGACGAUCAGUAGCCGACCUGAGAGGGUGACCGGACACAUUGGGACUGAGACACGGCCCAGACUCCUACGGGAGGCAGCAGUGGGGAAUAUUGCACAAUGGAGGAAACUCUGAUGCAGCGACGCCGCGUGAGUGAAGAAGUAAUUCGUUAUGUAAAGCUCUAUCAGCAGGGAAGAUAGUGACGGUACCUGACUAAGAAGCGCCGGCUAAAUACGUG
rnacentral:rRNA from 1 species